rnacentral:lncRNA from 1 species
GCUAUAUAUAGACUCCAAAAUAGACUGUACAGCCUUAGGCAGUCCACCAUAAAGCACUUCAGUUCUGAGUUACCUUCGGAUUGAAAGUCUUACGUAGAUCACUAGAUGCGAGUAGACAUAUGAGAGGCCCUUUGUGAUCGCUGGAGCAUUGAGGAGUAUUCUGAUAGGUGGUAGAAGGCACGACAGAAUUAAACCAUCUAGC